rnacentral:rRNA from 1 species
CCAGCAAUUCGGUUGGGGACUCAUGGGAGACUGCCGGGGUCAACUCGGAGGAAGGUGGGGAUGACGUCAAAUCAUCAUGCCCCUUAUGUCUUGGGCUUCACGCAUGCUACAAUGGCCAGUACAAUGGGCUGCGAAACCGUGAGGUGGAGCGAAUCCCAAAAAACUGGUCUCAGUUCGGAUUGGGGUCUGCAACUCGACCCCAUGAAGUCGGAGUCGCUAGUAAUCGCAGAUCAGCAACGCUGCGGUGAAUACGUUCCCGGGCCUUGUACACACCGCUCGUCAAGUCAUGGAAGUCGGGGAGACCUAAAGCGGAAGGUAACAUACUUCGUUAGGGUAAAUCUGGUAACUGGGGCUAAGUCGUAACAAGGUAGCCGUACCGGAAGGUGU